GGCAGGAGCUGAAUGUCAACUAGUCAAAGAUGGAGGCAGGAGCGGGGCGGCCAUGAGGCAUGGAAUGAAGCUCCCUCCAGUCACCUGCUGCAAGACACAUUAUCCAGCUUCCUAACCUUAAGGAUGAGACCCUAUCAAUAUUGCCUCUGCUUUUGUGAUCAGGGUAGUAGUGCAAUAUUGCUUAUAGGGUCUUUUCUUUUGAGGGUUAUUCUUCACGGAGAGAAGAAAGCCACAGCAGGAAAAAAUAAUCCUAUGUGCCCAUCGAGUUAAGGGAAAAAGUUGUGAAAUGACGAGCGUUGUUAGAUAGGCAAGUAAUUGUGCAGGGAUGUUAUUUGUGACAAAUAAUUGUGCUAUUGUGGUGACUCAGGUUGUGAGUAAUGGGCAUAUUUUUGAUGCUAUCACACAGGAUUCAAAACAGCCUGGUGUUUAAACCGCACAAGCAGUGAUUGAAACCGGAGAAACCCAUCAUGGCUCAAUUUUAAAAUAGUAUGAGUCCCGAGACGUUUGAAGGGUGCCUAUUUUACAUAAUGAUGUAAACACCCACCAAGGGAUGGGAGGAGAUACAUAGCCACGCUUGCCGUUUCAGUGCCUGAUCCCGGCCCGAAAACCAGUGCGGUGCGAAGCAGAGUGUAGCACAAAGAGGCCGAGGCUCUAAUCCCAGUCGCCUCCAAACAAAGCUCACGCCUCUGGCGAGCGCGGGGUCUGCGCCGGGCCCUGCCUCCGGCCCUUCCGAGAGCACUCACGGAGGUGGGACGAAGAGGUACCGACACGUUGUUUGGGAUCACUCGGUUCUGCAGCUACGAACACAGUGCUGAUCAUCAGCCCCAAUACCUUAAACAUAGCUUCCUACCAAAAGAUCCCUCGACUUUAGCUAACACAUUAUUAGAUGGAUCUUUUUUUAGGUUAAGUAUUAAGCCAUUCUUUCAGUAUGAACCAUAGUGCCUCAGAGCAAACAACAGAUAAUCAUUUUCCUUCGGUUUCCUAAGGCACCAGAUAUAAGAAAACAUUAUCUAGUGUCAAGGUGGUUUUCUGACAAGAACGAUCUAGACUGGGCAACUUUCCUCCGGAGAAGAGCGCAGCAAGCAGCCUGGAAAGAGGGGAGCCGUUAUGCGUUAUUGUUUUCCCUUCAAAAGCACCUUUCCCUGUGGCGUCCCACGCGGCACCAGCCCUCCCAGCGCCGCCGGGCAGCAUCUUCGCCCGGCGAGCCAGCGCCGCGGCAGGCGGCCGGGGGAGCUCCGCCGCGGGGUCCCGGCCAGGGGCUGCCCGGCGGGCGGGGGGCUGAGCAUGCCGAGCACCCUCCUCCGGCCAGCUCUCACGGCACGUCCCCUGCCCCACGCAGCCCCCGCCCGCCCUCCUGCCCCGCUGGGGACCGCCGGCCUCGGAAACCCUCCUUCCCCGAGGGAGCGCUAGAAACCCUCCUUCUCCGCCGCUGACACUUUGUCCUGAUGUUUUCCACAUUCGGGAUCCCGCUCCCCGCAGAACACGGGCCGCCAUCCCUCAGCCCUGCGGGGGAACACCGCCCCGGCGGGGCUCGCUCCCUGCCGCUGGGAGGAAGCUAUAAACGCUGCACUGUGAAACUUCCAGUCUCAGGAGGGUUUUCAAGGCUUUUCUCCACUAUCCACCACAGCUCUCCCGGAGGAGGGUGUCCUUUCCACUCCGGCUGCCACGAUUACCUCUUCCUUUUUGGGUAGGGAGGAAGGAAGUUGUGUUUCCCCGGCUGAGAACCUAUACCCUAAGGAGCAAACGCAUCUCUACUGUCCGGUCUGGUCACACCCCGCACCGCCCCACCCCUUGCCGAGCAUCCCUCCUGCCCUCCGGCGCCCGGCUUUAGCCCCAGGACAGGCAGCCGUCCUACGGGGCGACGCGAAGCCCUUACACCCCCGGAGCCGAGACCGGGGGGCUCCGAGGUCGCUGUCGAGGCACUGCUGAGACUUCCAAGCAAGGAUUCAGUUAAUCACUUACACUAAACAGCUUCCCAUCUCAUGAGGGAAAACAGCGGCCAUAUAGGGAGAUAAACAAAGAUUUUUAACAUUUUAAGCUAUUUUGCCCCGGAGACUGGUCUCUAAAGCUCGACGGAGAGCUACCCUCACCACCGUGCAUCUGUAGGGCUGAG